rnacentral:rRNA from 1 species
UACAGAGGUCCCAAGCGUUGUUCGGAUUCACUGGGCGUAAAGGGUGCGUAGGUGGCGAGGUAAGUCGGAUGUGAAAGCUCGGAGCUCAACUCCGAAAUGGCAUUGGAAACUACCUUGCUCGAGGGUUGGAGGGGGGACUGGAAUACUUGGUGUAGCAGUGAAAUGCGUAGAUAUCAAGUGGAACACCAGUGGCGAAGGCGAGUCCCUGGACAACUCCUGACACUGAGGCGCGAAAGCUAGGGGAGCAAACAGG